CAUUGGAUGUGCUGAUAUCAGUAUUAUCCAUAGGCAUUUGUAGGUGUUUGAUUUAUACCAACUGAUGUUUGUGAGGUUUGUUGGUUUAUUUAUUUAUUGCCUCCUUAACAUGAAGAAGCCUCAAAUUAACACCUCUGACUUUUAUUUACCAUGUAGACAAGCUGGCACAACAGUAUGGUGAUUUAGCAGUUUUCUAAAUACUUUUCUUCUCCUUGAGAUAUCUGUGUAUUUUCGAGAAAAGGAGAAAACUUUGAUUCUUUCUUCCUCUGUUCAUACACUGCAGUAUUUGUGAAAGGAGAGAAGGCUAAUAAGGACUGUAAUGUGAAAAUGUUUGCUGGAAUGUAAUAUGCUCAGGUACAUGUUUCUGCUCUUCGAGUUAAAAAAAAAAAGACUAACAAAUAAAAGUAAUAGCAAAAUUAACAUUUCACAUUUCCAUUGUAACAGUAAAUUGGUAAUAUUCGCUUGUCCAAAAUGGGCAAUGAUCACAGUGAAAAUAUCUAAGUUGUUCCUUGCUCAGAUUAGUCUGAUAUUACCAUGAACAUGUUUAAAAUAAGCUUUCAUUAUCACCCUAGAGUAUUAUAUACAACAACAUUGUUUGAGUGAAUUAUGGAUUAUAAAUAUUUUUUUUUCCAUAAAAGUACUUUAAUGGGGCUAAAAAGAGAUGGAACUUGAAAAUUUAUUAUGCAGAUAUUUUUGAAAAUGUGAAUUGGUGAAUGUUAUUCAUGCCAAGAUUUUAUUUUACUCGCUGACUUCUGCAUUCUGUAUUGCCAUGGAAUAUAGUGACAUUUCACAAAUGAAGAAAAAUAAAAAAUGAUUGGUUGCACCAGGCAGAAACAUUUGACAAUAUGUAAGUCAUAUUUCAGAACAUUGAAAUUAAAAACACUAGAGAUAUUUACAUCAUCUGAAGAUUUAACGUUUGUAUAUGCAUAUUUUAUAUCAAGAUUAACCUUCAUGUUGAAAAAACAAAUUCAAAUGCAAUGUCUCUUGCCCAGAAUAUUCAUGCAAGUGGAAAUUCUUGAAAUUGGACUCAUUCUUUAUUUUCACAUUUUUAGCUUUCAUUGGUAUUAACUUUUGUCAUUCCGAACAAAUGCUUUUCCAACUGGGACAUUUAUACAUAGCUUCUUGACAGUUUUUCCAAGCCAAAUCUUGGCUACAUGUGCUGUAACGUAAUAUACUGUAAGUGUAAACACUUGUGUUUCCAUAAUACUUUGAGUAAUCCUGUGUAUUAAAAACUAUCUGGGCAGAAAAAAACAAUCAUUUUUGUUUUUUAAAUAUAUUAGCCAUUGAACAGACAUCUUUAUGAACAUUUAUUUAGUUUAACAGGUUUCUGUGAUGUUUUUUGUCUAAAUCUGCAGUUCUUAAUCUGAAAGAGCCUUUAGAAUAGACUAUGUGUUUUCUGUCCUUUAGGUAUCUUCGUGUAAUAGAUUUAGAUGACCCAACCCUAUUGAAUUUUGAAUUUUGUUAGUCUUCAAGAAUUACAGCUAGUUUCUCUCCUUCCUUAAAAUGGAAUAAGUCUUUUAAGUGAACAUAACUGCAUCUGUAUAAAUUCAGCAUAUAUGUUAUUCAUUUAAAUAUAUAAUUUAUAUUAUACUAUUUUACAACUUAGAAAAAUAUUUUAACAAAUCAUUGCCAAAAUUUGACCAUUUCCAUAAUAAGUUAGAUAUAGAUUUGGCAUUAGGAUCACAAGUUUGAUUAAUAUCUGGUGGGCUGACCCCAGCCAUCAGCCAAGCCCCUACCCUGCAGCCCACCAAGCAGGGUGAGGGAGAGAAUUGGAAAGGCAAAAGUGAGAGAAAAAACUCAUGAGAGUUUUUGAGAUACUUUAGUGAAGCAAGUAAAGGAGAGAACACCACCCCUACCCUUCACCUCCCAGUUUUAUUACUGAGUGUGAAAUGGCAUGGAGAAACCCUUUGGUCACUUUAGUCAGUUGGGGUCAGUUGUCCCAGCUAUGUCCCCCCUAUCCUCUAGCUUUGCUCACUGUGGGUGCAAAGUGAGAAUCAGAGAAGGCCUUGAUGCCAUGCAAGCACUUCUCAGACAUAGUUAAGACAUAAUAAAUAGUUAAGAUACCCUUUUUCAAAAUGUUCACUACCCUUUGUUGUUUCUAAGCAGGAAUCAGAACAUGCCUGACAUUCAUCAGCUUGGCUGAGUCCAUCACAAAACAUGAGCAGCUAAGAGUUGUCAUUUAAAAAAUGGGUGGAAGGAGAAGCCAAGGACCAGCUCUUGACUAAUUUGAUCUCCUCUUCUGUGUGACAGGAAGAAGCAGUGACAAGUCUCAUCUAAGUAACCUAUCCAGCUGGAGAAGGUAAAAUGGGUGGUAUGAAAGCCUUUGUCUGCAUAUUCCCAAAGAAAUGAAGAUAUGCGCAGAUACAAUCAUCCUUUUGCCAGAGCUGAGAAGUAUUAACACUAACAGUAUGGGGCAUUAUUGCUGAAAGCUCCUAUGGAUGGCACUGUGGCAAUUAACUGGAGCAAGGAUGUCAUAAUCUCUUGUACCAAACCACCAGAAAACUAAAGCAAAGACUCCAGUGAGCCUAGAGAUGGGAACGCUAAACUGAAGUGACUUUGGAAAGUGGUUAUUCUGGAAAAGAUGUCAACUGCCAAAAUAGACAAGAGAACAGGAGCUCUUGACUGACCUCCCUCUUUAGGGCACCAAUUCCCUUUCACAACCACUACAGUUUUAGUUACUUAAAAUACAUUUAAAAACAAACAAACAAAACAAACAAACAACAACAACAAAAAACAACGCAUCUUUAUGACCAAUAUUUUAAGUCAAGGUGGUUUGUGCUCUCAUUGCGGCUCAUGGUGACAGAAUUAAUUGCUUUGUUUAACACAGGCUUCUUUUAGGAGCUGGUAAGAGAAAAUGGAACAUUUCCAACUCUGAACAUAAGCUGUUGCUGUGUUAUGGGAAGGAGGAGUGGGCAGAGCUGAAAGAAGAGACAUUGAUAUUAGCUGGGAGAAAAAGGGAGAGGGCAGCAGAUGAGAAAGUCAUUAAGACCACAAACAAUAAGUGACUGGAAAGUGAAACAGCAGUGCCGGGAGCUACUAGGCAAUUACCUAUCAACCUCUAGGUGAGGGUUUACACCUUCAGUUUCUUGAGAUAAUCUCAUGUGCAGCCAGUGAGAGGAUAUUGAACCCCAUGAUCUCAGGGGAAAGCUGUGUCAUGAGGAGCCAGGGGCCUUCUUGGCAGUAUGAAGGGACUGGAGCAGGGGGCUGCAUUGCUGAUUCAGUCAUGAACACUUGCACUGCCUUGGGCAGA